AGUCAUUAUACAGUUAGAUGUCCACAAGCACUUUGUGAUCGUUGAAAAAAAAGAGGUCAUCUAUCUGUUGUGUGCACUGAAUUCUUCCCUUGGGAAUGCACUCCUGUGAGGUGUGCUUUCUAGUCCAAAGGGCAGGGAUUCUUUUAUAUUCCUGACUUUGGUGUUGAUAGGCAGCCUAGAGAGCGAGUUUACAAUGUUGUGGUCACCAUUACUGAGGGUUCUUCUCAAACCAAAGAUAUUGAGCAUGAGCUGAGUGUCUAUGUUGGUCAGGGGUGGCGAUGCUCUGCUAGAUUCUUUGCUCCUCAGAAAUUUGUCAUGAGAAUGCCAAACCCUAGAGAGGUUGAUAGAGCUCUGUUUGUUGAACAUGUUAGACUUAAAAAAUGCGGAGUCAGUGUCAAAUUCUCUCCCUGGUUUGAGGACAUUGAUUCCGAGGGGCUUCUGGAAAUUGCAUGGGUUAGAAUUGGUAAAAUUCCACCUAAUAAAAGAUUUGAUAAGGUUGUUGCUUAUGCGGGGGGGCUGGUUGGGAUCACUCUAGAAGUUGACAUGUCUACUAUAAAUCGCCCUUCUUCUGUCAGAGCCAGAAUUGGGUGCAGAUUUGUGGCUCAACUUCCUGCUACUGAUGAGGGUGUGUUGGGGGGACGUUUCUACAAGUUCACUUGUGAGAUUGAAGAAAUUCUGGUAAAAAAUCCUGUUGAGGAAGAAACUGUGGAUCUUGUUUCUGAUGAUAAAACAAAGCCUGAAUACACUCCUAAAAGGAAACGCACUGAUCAAGAGAAAAAAGAGAGUCCCCCUGAUGCUCAUAGAUCUGGAAAGCUUGACAAUUCAUAUCGUGGGGGCAAGGCCUGUCGCCUGCUGCCUACUGAGAAAGAUGAAGAUGUCUCGUCCGAAAGUGAGGCAGAUACCUCCCUUCUCAUUGAAACAAUGUAG
rnacentral:rRNA from 1 species